AGCAGCCGCGGUAAUUCCAGCUCCAAUAGCGUAUAUUAAAGUUGUUGCAGUUAAAAAGCUCGUAGUUGAAUUUCGGGAUCAAUAUGUUGGUCGUGCCUUGGUACGUACUAAUUUAUUGGUUUCUUCCUUCUGACGAACCAUGAUGUCAUUAAUUUGGUGUCUUGAGGAAUCAGGACUGUUACUUUGAAAAAAUUAGAGUGUUUAAAGCAGGCUCACGCUUGAAUACAUUAGCAUGGAAUAAUGAAAUAGGACGUUUGAUUCUAUUUUGUUGGUUUCUAGGAUCGACGUAAUGAUUAAUAGGGAUAGUUGGGGGCAUUAGUAUUCAAUUGUCAGAGGUGAAAUUCUUGGAUUUAUUGAAGACUAACUACUGCGAAAGCAUUUGCCAAGGAUGUUUUCAUUAAUCAAGAACGAAAGUUAGGGGAUCGAAGACGAUCAGAUACCGUCGUAGUCUUAACCAUAAACUAUGCCGACUAGGGAUCGGAUGAUGUAUUUUAAUU
rnacentral:rRNA from 1 species